rnacentral:rRNA from 1 species
UGGGGAAUAUUGGACAAUGGGGGCAACCCUGAUCCAGCAAUGCCGCGUGUGUGAAGAAGGUCUUCGGAUUGUAAAGCACUUUCGACGGGGACGAUGAUGACGGUACCCGUAGAAGAAGCCCCGGCUAACUUCGUGCCAGCAGCCGCGGUAAUACGAAGGGGGCUAGCGUUGCUCGGAAUGACUGGGCGUAAAGGGCGUGUAGGCGGUUUACACAGUCAGAUGUGAAAUCCCCGGGCUUAACCUGGGAGCUGCAUUUGAUACGUGUAGACUAGAGUGUGAGAGAGGGUUGUGGAAUUCCCAGUGUAGAGGUGAAAUUCGUAGAUAUUGAGAAGAACACCGGUGGCGAAGGCGGCAACCUGGCUCAUGACUGACGCUGAGGCGCGAAAGCGUGGGGAGCAAACAGGAUUAGAUACCCUGGUAGUCCACGCUGUAAACGAUGUGUGCUAGAUGUUGGGUAACUUUGUUAUUCAGUGUCGCAGUUAACGCGUUAAGCACACCGCCU